AAUUAGCUUGUGUUUGUCAUCUAGCUUUUCUGCAGUAAGCAUGUGUAUUUGUGUCUGUGAGCUUUUCUGUAGUGAGCAUGUGUUUGUCAGUGAGUUUGUCUGUAGUGAGCAUGUGUGUCGGCGAGCUUUUUUGUAGUGAGCAUGUGUGUCCAGCGUGCUUUUUUGUAGUGAGCAUAUGUAUUUGCCAGUGAGUUUGUAGUGACCAUGUGUGUUUUAGUGAGCUUUUCUGUAGUAAGUUUGUGUGUCUGUGAGCUUGUCUGUAGUAAGUUUGUGUUUGUAUAACAAUGAAUUUGUCUGUAGUAACCUUGUGUGAGUGUCAAAGUUUGUACUAAGUUUGUGUGUGUGUGUAUCAGUAAACUUGUCUGUGUGUCAGUGAGAUUAUUUCAGGUUAAUCCAGUGUGAAUGUUCGCGGCGAGGUCCUGCCGCUGUUGGGUGCAGUCUCUCCGAGUAACCCGUGAGUGGUAGCAUAGCACUUUAACUAAGGAAUCUCUCCGGGGUCCCCAGCAACGGGUGGCUAGCAUAUUUGCUAGCAUAUUUGCCCUCCCACAUACCCGCAGGGUACUCGGCGUGCAGAUUACCAUGUACCGGCUUCCUUUAGCCGAUCUAACUGUUCUAUACAUCGACCCCUCUACUUACGUACAGGCCACAUCGUGGUCAUUUCCCUAUUUCAUGCUGCUUUCGAUCAGACUUGUCCCUAAUGGAUUAAACCAGAAAUGAUCAUACAUGUCUUUCAUCUGGUAGGUGGCCACGGUACUUGAUAAGUAGAGAUGUCCUCUGUAUGUACAUUUAGAAGUAAAGUGAUUUAUUUGAUAUGAUGUUAUAGGCUGGUCUCCAGAGAUUUAAUUCUGCUUAUAUUACCCGUCCCGCUUUAAUGAUUUUAACGGUUAUUCGUCAUUGUUGCUUACGCUGGGCUUUUAAUCAUAUAAGCACUUAUUUGGAAAUCUAUUUCAAAGUUCUUUGGUGGUUGUAUCUGGCUACCUUGUUUAUUAUUAAGUUUUAUGAUACAGUCAAUUUCAUUCAUAGUAUGGCUAUUCCAUUCAUUUAGGCUUGUUUGUUUCAUAUGCCGGGUAGUCAGUUUGUUUGGCUUACGUCGCCACCUUGUGGUUUUACAAUAUUGGUCGGUAACUUUUUUUUUAAUGCAUGACAAACUUAAAUUUUUGCAUAUAUAUCAUUCUUUGCUCUGUACCUUCAUUUGGGGUAUAUUAGUUGUUUAUUAGGUGCUGGUAAAUCACUGUCGUAGCAGCAGGGGUUAAUUCCGGUCAAACAAUGCUGGUAUAAAAUCGUUCUCCAUUAGGUCAGUUAAAGGUUAUUAUGAAAGUAUUUCUCCUUAUAGCUUAUCGCGUACUUUACUUUGGUUUUUUAAUAUGUUAUACAAGUUAUUAAUAUACUCAGUUCAGUCUUGUGCAUUGCUUAUUACUAAGUACGCUGUUCAGUAUUAUUUAGAUGACAUUUAGAUUUAAAAGAUAAUACUAUUACUGACACUGCUUACAAACGGGCCUUAUUGGUUAAACGCAACUACAGCAUUAUAAGAGUUCUGGUUAUCGCCCUGCCAAAUCUUCUUACCAUUUUUCUACGUGUAUGGUUAGUAUCUACCCUUUUGCUUGGCGGGGCAAUUUUCUAUGGUUUCACCUGGGGGUUAGGUUGUAACUUAAAUUUUUGACAUGUUUUAGGUUCAAGUAAGGAUUAUUCUUUCCACUUCAGUAUAAGUCAUACAAGUCAAUCAUCAGGUACGUUAACUGUUUAAACCCAGGCAGGGUUAUGAGUAGGUUUAGGCUCUCGCCAAGUUCGGUAUGGUUCAAUAGGCCUUUUCGCCUGUAAGUCGAGUGGUCCCGCAAGGCAUACUAUCAGCCCUUCCGUUCAGAGGUUCGUGCCCAAUCGUCCCAAUGCAUAGUUAUAGCCUUGCAUCAGGUCAUAGUUAGGGCCUCACCCGUCACGGCCAUUCGAUAUUACAUUAUUUUACGUAUCACCGAGAGACAAACACCCUGCCACCCACCUCAGUGACACAAAGUCCAGCUUCCAGCUAUCGUUCCUGGACUAUCCCUAAAAUUACCUCAUAAUUCAAAAAAAGGAAUAUUCCUUUCGUGGCUACAGCCAGGAAAUCUGAACGGUUUCGUUUGUUAAAUACUACUUGUUAAAUACUACUGAGGACAACGAAAGGCCUGGCCCUAGUUCAGAGUUCAAUGUGCUGAGUUGCACGUCAUGAUGGCCUCCCUUGUGUCUUCAGUAGCAACUAUUAAUAAUAGGUUGGAUAAUCUGGAGUCAAAUAAUAUUCCAACAGUUCCAGAGCUCCCAGUGCCUGUUGCUCAGCCAGCACCUAACCCAGGAGGUAAAGAUAACCCUCUACCAGCUAAUAGAGCUACCAAUAUCAUAAAUCCUAUUCACCUCAGUCUCUGAGACGUGACAUUAUAGAGGGGAAGGACAUCAACUUGGCUUCACUACUAAUAGCAUCUCAAGACGUUGUUGAGAACAGGGCUUAUACCUUUGAGGUAAAUAUAUAACUAUAUAAUGGAUAAACUCCAAAAAAAUAUUGGUAGAAAAUCCUUCAAAAGUUAAGACUUGAGAUAGGAUGUGGCAACCAUAACCACUGUAUCACUAGUAAAAGUAAUAACCACCACCAAGGGUUAAAAAAUAAAAACAAGUGUAAAGUGCUUAUUGAAAUAAAUCAAUAAUCAAUACCGGACUCAGUGGAAAUAGUGGAUUAUAAAUCAGUAAGAAAAUCCUUAAGUAAUCCUUUAAUGUGUCAGCUAGUCAGAUCUUAACCUCCUAUGGAAUCAGGUAGGUAGAAUCCACUGGCUGCCAAGGGGUUAAUCUAGUAGAGAUUCUAUAAUCUAUAGACUCAAUACAAAAUACUCCAGGGUAAUAAAUAAUUAAUAAUGAAUUAAGAUAAAAAUAAUGGUAUUAUAUUGUAAGAAUUCCAAGGGAUUAAAAGUUUGUCUAAUAUAUGUGAAGCAGAGUACUAUUGAAAAAUGUAUUGGUACGUAUAAACUGUCUACAAAACACACAAUACUAUAAAAGACUAAAAAUAAAAACAGUCCCAAAUGAGAGAGAUGGUAUACCAGGUCAAGUAGACUGAGGGCCCAAAGAUGUGGGUAACACUGUCUUGCCGACCGGACAGAGGUGAAGGAGGACCUCCUCGUGCUAGAAUGACACUGUGUAUUCGCCACGUGCGUUCCACUGCGGCUGCUGGAUGCGUUCUCAGGAGCUUUAUAUCUUUGAGGAUCUGUCAGUAGUAAUGAAGUCUAGAGAUCCUAGACUAAAUAGGAAACUUAACAUCCCAGAAUUUGUCCUCGCAUUCGGUCUGUACAAAGAUGUGAUCUGUACGGCUUUCCCCCUCCGUAGAGAAGAACUCGACAUAUACCUUCAUAAAGUUGCUGAGUUAGCAUAUAAGUACGGGGACUAUGCCUUUUACCAUUAUCAUAAGUCGUUCGCUUCCAGAUCUGCCGCAUCGCUGUCCCAGUACAAUACAAUUACUGAUUGGGCACAGUUAGACACGGAAUUGUUUCUAAUGCAUUUUGCAGGCCUUAAAACCCCUUCCUGCGCUAUAUGCUCUUCUGCCGCUCAUUCGGUCAAUUUCUGUCCUGAAAAUGUAGCGACCCCUUUUACCAGUAGCGCCAAUACUGGUUACCAGUCCAACACUACCCAGAAGGAAGUGAGAAACAAAUUAGGCAGGCCAAUUGUUUUUCUGGGUAAAGCACAAGUCUGCAAUAAUUUCAAUGCCGGGGGUUGUAGUUAUAGUGCUUGUAGGCUUCUCCACAUGUGCUCACUGUGUUUCAGAGCACAUGCCAAAACAAUGUGCCCCAACAGAUUGUACCCUAAUAAAUCUUCCACUCCAAUAAACAUACCUAAGUUGCAACGCUACCUGUCUAAUCAUCCUUCUUUACAUUUGGUGGAAUUUCUCACGGCUGGUUUCACUAAUGGGUUUCACACAGGGUUCGUGUCACUCCCCACAAGUAUUUUGGAAUGCCCCAACCUACAGUCAGCACUCACAGAUCCAGACAGCAUACAAGAACUCUUACAGAAAGAAAUCACUAAUGGUUUCAUGAUAGGUCCUUUCUCAACUCCUCCUUUCACUUCCUGGAGGACAAACCCCCGAGGAAUCACCAGAGGGAAAUUUAACAAUAAAAAGAGACUGAUUAUUAACUUUUCUGCACCUCACUCAUUCCGUACACCUAGCCUAAAUGCACUGAUCCCGUCAGAAGAUUUUGCCCUUCAGUACACCAGAAUUGACAAUGCCAUACAAGCAAUCAUUCAUUCCGGGAAGGCUGCGUGGUUAAGUAAAUCUGAAAUAAUUAACGCCUUUAAAUUACUUCCCAUUCAUCAGUCACUCUGGCAUCUGCAUGGAGUUACGUGGCAAGACAACUACUAUUUCGCUACCAAACUUACCUUCAGAUCCAAAAGUAGCCCUCAGUUAUUCGAUAUAUUCGCCAAACUUUAACCUGGCUCCUACUGAACUUUUGCAGGUGUCCAGUAAUCAUAAACUACUUAGACAACUUCCUCACCAUUGAACCACACCAAUGCACGCCUCACAGCCUUAAUCACAUGCUCACUCUGUUCAAAGAUUUAGGAGUCCCUGUAGCCCAGGACAAAACAGAAGGUCCCAACACGGAGAUUACUUUCCUGGGAAUUACGCUCAAUUCUGUCUCUAUGCAGGCCAGCCUGCCUCAAGAGAAAGUAGACAGGAUUAUUUCUUACAUAAAUAUCUGCACGUCACAAGGCACUUGCACCAGGAAACAGCUACAGUCACUACUCAGUUCACUCAAUUUUGCAAUGAGAAUAAUUCCUCAGGGUAGGUCUUUCAUUUCCAGAAUCCUUUCACUGUUGCACGGUCUCCCCAACGACGACUCCACAACUCCCAUAGUCGAGUCAGCUAGAGCUGAUCUACAAAUGUGGCAGCUGUUCCUAUCAUCUUGGAAUGGCCGGUCGCUAUUUAUUCCACCCAUUUCUGACGAUUCCCCUGUAGUUUGGACUGAUGUUUCAGGUGCCAUAGGGUAUGCAGCUAUUUACGGUGAUGAAUGGCUGUACGACUCUUGGCCAGUUGAGACCACCUCGCUCAAAAAUUUCAAUACCACGUCAACUCUAUUUGAAAUUUACCCUAUAGUAGCAGCUGCACACGUCUGGGGUAAAGAAUGGUGUUGGCAGUCAAUCAGAUGCUUUUCUGAUAACUUGUAAUAUAGUUAACAAAGGCCGCUCUCAGUCCCUCAUGAUUAUGAACUUAAUAAGGAGACUGACCUGGCUAGCGGCUAAUCUUCAAUUCUGUAUAACCUGUAUUCACGUCCCGGGUGUUCAAAAUACCGCUGCUGAUGCUCUCUCACGUUUGAAUUUGCAGGAAUUUUUCAGGUUUCAUCCAUCAGCGAACUCGCAACCCAGGGAACCUCCAAGUUUUACAGACCUAAUUAUGCUUUAAGUUCUCUAUUAAAACAUAGUAGGUCACUCGCACAGACAGGCUUGUCCCUUAAUACAAGGAAAGCCUAUUCCAGUGCGUACGAGUUGUUUCA
rnacentral:lncRNA from 1 species